UCCUCUUCCCUUUCUUCCCACUCAUCGCUCCUUUUCCUCCUCUCUCUCCUGGAACUCUCUGAGAAACAUGAGCCUCUCUGACUCAUGUUUCCUCUUAGAGCUAGCUGGAGUGCUAAAUUCCUGCUCUGGAGGAGAGACGACUGCUGCAGGGGUUGGUGCCAUGGCUGAGGAGAUGACAUUUGGUGGGGUUAUAGAUGGUCUUUGCCCCACCACCUCAUCCAUGGUAUCAAACCACUUCCAGUUUGCAGCAGUGGCCUCUCCUCCCUCAGUGCUCACACCUGUGCGAGGUGCCUUUAGUUCGUACAAAAAAACAUACACAAAAGUAAUCUGAUUAUUUAGCUGAACUUUUCACCACUAGUCAUGUACUCUGUGAUUACAUUGGGGAAACCAGGGGGAAAAAUUAUAUUAUAAUUAUUAUACCACAUGGGAUAAAUAUAAUGGACUCAACUGUUUUAAUAAAUUAUAGAUAUUACCUAGCACUGACUUGAUGCCUGAUUAUUUUUGAAGAAAGCAAACGUCAUCAUAAAACAUCAAACAUCAUCAUAAUCACAUUUCUUUUGUGCUAAACAUCAAGACUUCAGUGCUUUCGAUACAUCAUACUUUGUUUGAGGUUCUCCCAUUUCUGGCUCACGUAUCGACCUUACCCUCCAACCCAUGCUCCUUGAUGAACAUCCUACACAAGCAUAACGUUGGUCAAAUUGGCAUGAACUUCUGACAGGGGAUAAGCACUUUUAUAAAAAUGUGACAGUUAGAAGAGCAGUCAGAAGGUCAUCCACUCUUCACCAGUUUCAGCACAGGCAUCCCUCUAACAGCCCACUCACAGUUUACAUGCACAGUCUGUGGCCUUGCACGGGGAGUGCAUGUGAACAGACAAUAUCAGGAUUCUCUGCACCAAUCAAAGGCCUCCGUUCAGCUGUCUACGGACUCAGCUCGUUAGCGGGGUGAAGCAUCUGGGCUGAGUCGAGUCAGAGAAGUUUUCUGGAUUUUUACUUCAUUAAUUGCUGCGGUUUCUGGACUUUUACAUUGUUCACUGCCGAAGUUUCUGGGCUCUUGUUUCAUGUUUGCUGGUUUAUUCUUUCCUGUGCGUCCAUGAGAAUGGUAUCAUCUCUGGUUGGGAGAGUUGAAGUGUUGGGAUUCGACUGAACAGUUUCCAGAUACUACAUUGUUCAGUGUGUCCCCUACCUGCCGGAUAGCUAAAGCCAACUAGCAACAGUCUGCAGAUAUCAGGCUGAUGUCUUGUAAAGAAACACAAACAACAGCAGAUCCAUUAGUGAGCAGACCUUUCUGCUCUGUCUCUGCUGAAACUGAUUAUUAAAGUUGAUGCCUGUGCUCUACUUAGUUGAAGCAUCUGGUGCACAUAGCUGUGUGGGAUAACCUGUAUGUUAUAAAGAAUGAUGACAGCCUUGCAGGUGGUGCAGAUGUUUUAUUGUUGUUAAAUCUGUCGAAAAAUAAUAUGAUGUUUCAAUCCUGCAUUUUACAGGCAAACAAAAAAUUAUUAAAUCGUGGAUUGAUGUCAA